rnacentral:rRNA from 1 species
UACGGGGGGGGCAAGCGUUGUUCGGAAUUACUGGGCGUAAAGGGCUUGUAGGUGGCCAACUAAGUCAGACGUGAAAUCCCUCGGCUUAACCGGGGAACUGCGUCUGAUACUGGAUGGCUUGAGUUUGGGAGAGGGAUGCGGAAUUCCAGGUGUAGCGGUGAAAUGCGCAGAUAUCGGGAGGAACACCGGUGGCGAAGGCGGUUCUCUGGGCCUUACCUGACGCUGAGGAGCGAAAGCGUGGGGAGCGAACAGG